UCAGGUAACGGUGCAUGCAACUCCAAUGUUGUGGCAUGUGAAAGGCCAUCAAGUAGAUGAUGAUCUACUUCUGUGUUAUCAUCAUAAUGAAACUCAGACCCUAGACUAAGCGAAGCUGACACUAGAGAAGACAGAUCCCAGGUAACUAUAGCACCACGACGACAUUCUGGGUCAAUGACAGAGAGAUGGGUAAGCUUCCUAGCACCAAUCAGGAGAUCAUUGCCAAUGAUGCAGUCGAUGAUAUGUAGAACCUUGAGUGAGCUCGAUGAGAUCCUCCUUGUAUCGAGAAUGCAACACUCCAACUCUAGAUGUUCGAGCACAGGCCAGUCAUAAUUCAGCGGCUUAUCGAACCAAUCGUUCAAACGGACAUACCAGAGCCUGAUUCUUUUGAGGUACAGAGAAGGAAACAUUGCUGUGCUAUCCAAAAUCAGAUGGUGGUGAAAUCCAGAAAUAUGAAGGAGACGAACUUUGUGCUUGAUGGCAUGACGAAUCCACACAGAACUCUUCUUACUACUGCGAGUCGUGAUGACGACCCGGACCUCAUCCAAGGAAACAGUGCCGUCACGCAAGAGCAGCAAGUGGUCCACGAAGUUCUCCAGCUUGUGGUUAUCAAAGCAAGCAAUGCCCACAUCAUUUUUAACCACGAAGUCUUUGUUGUUGAUGUGGAUAAAUGGAACAGAGCUCCAGAGAUUGCGCCACCUUGGUGAGAGAAGACUUGUGCGCACGACCUCCGGCGUCGGCAGGAAGGACAUCACGUGGUGGAGCAGAUCGUCGGACAGGCUGCUGAGCCUGUCGANNNNNNNNNNAGUGCACUUUAAUGUACAAAAAAAUGUUGUUCUCUCAUCACACGAUAAUCAAGACCAAUAACAUUCUACACAUGGUCUCCUUAAUUUCUACAUACACUUAGCUCAUUAGGGGUUGGGUAAUUAAAAAGGAGAGAGAUGAUGUCUUGUAUCUUCCCAAUGCGUUUUUUAUUUCACUUUAUAAUUUAUUUUAAAAUUUCUAUCGAAAAAGCUAUUUUCCAGUCGACGGGCGUGAACGAUUUGCGAACCCUCCGAUCCGCUUCUGCUCUAGCACGUAAAAAGAGCUCCAAAAAAAUAGUGUCCCUACUAGGAUUUGAAUACACACCAGUUGGUUGUGGCCACGAUGCGCUACCAGUUGAGAUGACUAUCUAUUCUGUUUCAUUUGCAGAUUAAUUGGUAUUUCUACCUUAAUAAAUUCUAAAAAUGCUGAUAUUUUUUAGAUGUUCAUGUUAGUGUAACAAGCGUACUUGUCAAUUUUCAUGCAAAACGGGAUAGCGUCGCUUCGUUUUUUAAGAUAACAUUUGUUGUUCAACUUGUUUUUUUUUGUUUUUGCACAUGUCAACAUGCUUGAAGGGGAGCCUUGGCGCAGUGGUAAAGCUGCUGCCUUGUGACCAUGAGGUCAUGGGUUCAAGUCCUGGAAACAGCCUCUUACAGAAAUGUAGGAAAAGGCUGCGUACUAUAGACCCAAAGUGGUCGGACCUUUCUCUGGACCCUGUGCAAGCGGGAGCUACAUGCACCAGGUUGCACAUGUCAACAUGCUUAAGCUCCCCCCCCCCUCCCCCUAAAAAUUAUAUAUAUAUAUAUAUAUAUAUUCAAACAAAUUUGAACUUGGCAAAAUAUAUUUUUGGCGCGCAUGAGCAUAUACUCCCUAGAGCCAAAAACAAUAUCCGCCACUCCUACCUCUUUUUAGAUUUUUUUUUGUGGCAUCAAACACUCUACACUAGUCCUGUAGGAUUCAAAUUCAAAUGAGCAUACCACUCCAGUCGUGUAUUCAUUCUAUUCCUGCCUUUUGAGAAUCCUGCGAAUUAAAGAGGGCCUAAAUGUGUAACCCGCUGACAAGUGAGGUCCAUGCGACAUAAGAACUACUUCCUCCGUUCCAUAAUAUAAGAACGUUUUUCAAACUAACAUAGUUUGGAAAACGUUCUUAUAUUAUGGGACAUAGGGAGUAUAUAAAAGGUUAUAGUUUUAGAGAAUCUGAGAAAGUGGAGGGCUUCAAAACCUUUGAAGGAGAAGCCAUUCUAAAGCUCUCUGUUUAGGGAAUCUUUUAGAGUUGCUCUUAGCAAGUCAUGGCUAGUGACAAAUCAAGUGUUAUAUAAGGAGGUAAGGCGACCUAAGGCGAGCACCACCGGCGCCUUAUCACCUAAGUGUCUAAGGCAGGAUGCAUUAAAACGAUUUAUAUCAAUUAUUUGAUACCGCCUUUUAUUUUUAUCUUUUUUAGAAAUACUUGUAACUACAAAUACAAUGUUUUGGAUGAAGAUCCAAAAAAUUACAAAGUAAUUCCUAAAAGUAGGAAUUGCAAUUAAACCACUUAAACCACUAUUUCAAAAUUUGUACCAUGAUCUAAAGGGUGUCACAUGAUUCAUGUUAGUCAAAUUUCUGUGCCAGAAUGCCUCAACACACGUACCCCAGAUCUGAAACAUGAUUAACUUAAGUGUAAACACAAGAAUGUGUAAUGUCUGGACAGAUUUAGCCAAACAGAAGAAGAAUAUCAGCUCCCCCCUCUCCAGUUAAUGUCGGCGUCUAGAAAAGGGUAAAGCGCGGCUCUUGACAAACUUAGCACUAACCAAAUGUGGCAAGAGGGGGACAGGUCCGAAAACAAGGCCUUAACACAAACAUGAUUAGUAACCCUCGAUAUUGAUUUUCCCGUCUGGGAUGAAGAUCGGUAGCAGCGCCUGCACCAACGUACCGAUCCUAGGAUCAUCUUUGCUGCAGCAUAUCUUGAUUCUCUCGAUACGAGGAUAGCCCCUGAUUGCCGGUGCUCGCCUUGAUGGUAAUGAAGCAGAUUCAACCUCCUUGCGUGUUUCACAGUGCUCCUGCGGCAUGUCAAAACCACACGGGAGUAUCAACUUUGAUCAUUCUGAUGCUGUAGCAAAGCAGUGCCAGCUAGACAUACAUAUCUGGGAGAAGUAUUACCAUCUUGAGCUUAACAGUUAGCUCUUUCAGCAUGGGCGAGCGAUGGACAAUACGGAACAGUGGGUAGAAGUCAGCAGCCAUGCACCAAUCACCCAGCACCAAGCUCGUCAGAUUGCUGAACAUCGGGCAUGCUUGCAAACCCCUCUCGAAUGUGAGCUUCACAAGCAAUAUGAUCAUGUUAAGGAGUUGAAAACAGAGCAAGCUGAAUAGUUAAUGAUACAAUAUUUCCAUGCUAGCUUGCCAACAUAUAGUAAACAGUACAUAAUCACUUCAAAAAGUAGAUUGUGUCUGACAUUAAAACUAAGAAGCGACUAAUUCGGCAUGCAAAUAUAUUCACCUACGAAUAUGAAAAGGAAAAUAACCCAUCAGUACCUCAGGUAACGGUGCAUGCAACUCCAAUGUUGUGGCAUGUGAAAGGCCAUCAAGUAGAUGAUGAUCUACUUCUGUGUUAUCAUCAUAAUGAAACUCAGACCCUAGACUAAGCGAAGCUGACACUAGAGAAGACAGAUCCCAGGUAACUAUAGCACCACGACGACAUUCUGGGUCAAUGACAGAGAGAUGGGUAAGCUUCCUAGCACCAAUCAGGAGAUCAUUGCCAAUGAUGCAGUCGAUGAUAUGUAGAACCUUGAGUGAGCUCGAUGAGAUCCUCCUUGUAUCGAGAAUGCAACACUCCAACUCUAGAUGUUCGAGCACAGGCCAGUCAUAAUUCAGCGGCUUAUCGAACCAAUCGUUCAAACGGACAUACCAGAGCCUGAUUCUUUUGAGGUACAGAGAAGGAAACAUUGCUGUGCUAUCCAAAAUCAGAUGGUGGUGAAAUCCAGAAAUAUGAAGGAGACGAACUUUGUGCUUGAUGGCAUGACGAAUCCACACAGAACUC
rnacentral:lncRNA from 1 species